UACGAAGGGGGCUAGCGUUGCUCGGAAUCACUGGGCGUAAAGCGCACGUAGGCGGCUUACUAAGUCAGGGGUGAAAUCCUGGAGCUCAACUCCAGAACUGCCUUUGAUACUGGUGAGCUUGAGUCCGGAAGAGGUGAGUGGAACUGCGAGUGUAGAGGUGAAAUUCGUAGAUAUUCGCAAGAACACCAGUGGCGAAGGCGGCUCACUGGUCCGGUACUGACGCUGAGGUGCGAAAGCGUGGGGAGUAAACAGG
rnacentral:rRNA from 1 species